CCGGUUGAUCCCGCCGGACCUGACUGCUAUCGGAUUGAUACUAAGCCAUGCGAGUCAUUGUAGCAAUACAAGGCAUACGGCUCAGUAACGCGCAGUCAACCUAACCUAUGGACGGGAAUAACCUCGGGAAACUGAGAAUAAUGCCCGAUAGAACAUUAUGCCUGGAAUGGUUUAUGUUCCAAAUGAUUUAUCGCCGUAGGAUGGGACUGCGGCCUAUCAGUUUGUUGGUGAGGUAAUGGCCCACCAAGACUAUUACAGGUACGGGCUCUGAGAGGAGUAGCCCGGAGAUGGGUACUGAGACACGGACCCAGGCCCUAUGGGGCGCAGCAGGCGAGAAAACUUUGCAAUGUGCGAAAGCACGACAAGGUUAAUCCGAGUGGUUUCUGCUAAAGGAACCUUUUGUCAGUCCUAGAAACACUGAUGAAUAAGGGGUGGGCAAGUUCUGGUGUCAGCCGCCGCGGUAAAACCAGCACCUCAAGUGGUCAGGAUGAUUAUUGGGCCUAAAGCAUCCGCAGCCGGCUCUGUAAGUUUUCGGUUAAAUCUGUACGCUCAACGUACAGGCUGCCGGGAAUACUGCAAAGCUAGGGAGUGGGAGAGGUAGACGGUACUCGGUAGGAAGGGGUAAAAUCCUUUGAUCUAUUGAUGACCACCUGUGGCGAAGGCGGUCUACCAGAACACGUCCGACGGUGAGGGAUGAAAGC
rnacentral:rRNA from 1 species